rnacentral:rRNA from 1 species
AUUGAACGCUGGCGGCAUGCCUUACACAUGCAAGUCGAACGGCAGCGGGGACUUCGGUCCGCCGGCGAGUGGCGAACGGGUGAGUAAUGUAUCGGAACGUACCAUUGAGUGGGGGAUAACUAUCCGAAAGGAUAGCUAAUACCGCAUAUUCUCUCCGGAGGAAAGCAGGGGACCGCAAGGCCUUGCGCUCAUUGAGCGGCCGAUAUCAGAUUAGCUAGUUGGUGGGGUAAAAGCUCACCAAGGCGACGAUCUGUAGCGGGUCUGAGAGGAUGAUCCGCCACACUGGAACUGAGACACGGUCCAGACUCCUACGGGAGGCAGCAGUGGGGAAUUUUGGACAAUGGGGGCAACCCUGAUCCAGCCAUGCCGCGUGAGUGAAGAAGGCCUUCGGGUUGUAAAGCUCUUUCGGCCGGGAAAAAAUCGCAUGGGCUAAUAUCCUGUGUGGAUGAUGGUACCGGAAUAAGAAGCACCGGCUAACUACGUGCCAGCAGCCGCAGUAA